rnacentral:rRNA from 1 species
UACGAGUGGUGCAAGCGUUAUUCGGAAUCAUUGGGCGUAAAGGGUGUGUAGGUGGCAAGCUAAGUCUGUUGUUAAAUUUCCCGGCCUAACCGGGAGAAUGCGGCGGAAACUGAUUUGCUAGAGGUUGAAAGAGAGAAGUGGAAUUCUCGGAGUAGCGGUAAAAUGCGUAGAUAUCGAGAGGAACACCGAUGGCGAAGGCAGCUUCUUGGCCUGUUCUUGACGCUGAGGCGCGAAAGCUAGGGGAGCAAACGGG